rnacentral:rRNA from 1 species
GACGAACGCUGGCGGCGUGCUUAACACAUGCAAGUCGAACGGAAAGGCCCUGCUUUUGUGGGGUGCUCGAGUGGCGAACGGGUGAGUAACACGUGAGUAACCUGCCCUUGACUUUGGGAUAACUUCAGGAAACUGGGGCUAAUACCGGAUAGGAGCUCCUGCUGCAUGGUGGGGGUUGGAAAGUUUCGGCGGUUGGGGAUGGACUCGCGGCUUAUCAGCUUGUUGGUGGGGUAGUGGCUUACCAAGGCUUUGACGGGUAGCCGGCCUGAGAGGGUGACCGGCCACAUAGGAACUGGGAUGCGGCCCAGACGCCUACGGGAGGCAGGGGUGGGAAAUAUUGCACAAUGGGCGGAAGCCGGAUGCAGCAACGCCGCGUGCGGGAUGACGGCCUUCGGGUUGUAAACCGCUUUCGCCUGUGACGAAGCGUGAGUGACGGUAAUGGGGAAAGAAGCACCGGCUAACUACGU